AUUGAACGCUGGCGGAAUGCUUUACACAUGCAAGUCGAACGGCAGCACGGACUUCGGUCUGGUGGCGAGUGGCGAACGGGUGAGUAAUAUAUCGGAACGUGCCCAGUCGUGGGGGAUAACGUAGCGAAAGCUACGCUAAUACCGCAUACGAUCUACGGAUGAAAGCGGGGGAUCGCAAGACCUCGCGCGAUUGGAGCGGCCGAUAUCAGAUUAGGUAGUUGGUGAGGUAAAGGCUCACCAAGCCGACGAUCUGUAGCUGGUCUGAGAGGACGACCAGCCACACUGGGACUGAGACCCGGCCCAGACUCCUCCGGGAGGCAGCAGUGGGGAAUUUUGGACAAUGGACGCAAGUCUGAUCCAGCCAUUCCGCGUGCAGGACGAAGGCCUUCGGGUUGUAAACUGCUUUUGUACAGAACGAAAAGGUCUCUAUUAAUACUAGGGGCUCAUGACGGUACUGUAAGAAUAAGCACCGGCUAACUACGUGCCAGCCGCCGCCGUAA
rnacentral:rRNA from 1 species